UACAGAGGGUGCAAGCGUCAAUCGGAUUUACUGGGCGUAAAGCGUGCGUAGGCGGUUUGUUAAGUCGGAUGUGAAAGCCCUGGGCUCAACCUGGGAACUGCAUUCGAUACUGACAGGCUAGAGAACGGUAGAGGGAGGCGGAAUUCCGGGUGUAGCAGUGAAAUGCGUAGAUAUCCGGAGGAACGCCGAUGGCGAAGGCAACCUCCCGGGCCUGUUCUGACGCUGAGGCACGAAAGCGUGGGUAGCAAACAGG
rnacentral:rRNA from 1 species